AGCGAACGUUUGCGGCGGGCCUAACACAUGCAAGUCGAACGCACUAGCAAUAGUGAGUGGCGCACGGGUGCGUAACACGUGGGUAAUCAACCCUUCAGCUUGGGAUAACGACUUGAAAGGGUCGCUAAUACCGGAUACGGCGCGGGAGGCUUCGGCUUCUCACGAGAAAGCCUCGCAAGGGGCACUGAAGGACGAGCCUGCGGCCCAUCAGCUAGUUGGUGAGGUAAGAGCUCACCAAGGCGAAGACGGGUAGCUGGUCUGAGAGGAUGAAAUCAGCCACACUGGAACUGAGACACGGUCCAGACUCCUACGGGAGGCAGCAGUGGGGAAGUAUUGCGCAAUGGGCGAAAGCCUGACGCAGCCACGCCGCGUGAGCGAUGAAGGCCUCGGUCGUAAGACUCUGUGGGAGGAGACGAAG
rnacentral:rRNA from 1 species